GGUGUAGCUCAGUCGGUUAGAGCAGCGGAAUCAUAAUCCGCUACGGGUAGUCUCAGAAGUCCCAUACGUAUGGGCGAAAGCCCCAUACAUAUGGGGCUUUCGGCUUUUCGGUUGUUCACCA
rnacentral:tRNA from 1 species